GAUGAAGAACGCAGCGUAAUGCGAUAAGUAGUGUGAAUUGCAGAAUUCAGUGAAUCAUCGAAUCUUUGAACGCACAUUGCGCCCCAUGGUAUUCCGUGGGGCAUGCCUGUUCGAGCGUCAUUUACCCCCUCAAGCUCCGCUUGGUGUUGGGCGUCUGUCCCGCUUCGCGCGCGGACUCGCCCCAAAGGUAUUGGCAGCGGUCGUGCCAGCUUCUCGCGCAGCACAUUGCGCUUCUCGAGGCACCGGUGGGCCCGCGUCCAUCAAGCUCACCCCCCCAGUUUGACCUCGGAUCAGGUAGGGAUACCCGCUGAACUUAAGCAUAUCAAUAAGCGGAGGA
rnacentral:misc_RNA from 1 species